rnacentral:hammerhead_ribozyme from 1 species
ACACUGUUGAGGAGUUCCAUAAUAGGACGAAACGGCCUUCCAGUGC